GACACGGUCCAGACACCUACGGGUGGCAGCAGUCGAGAAUUUUUCACAAUGGGGGAAACCCUGAUGGAGCGACGCCGCGUGGAGGAUGAAGGCCUUCGGGUUGUAAACUCCUGUCAUUGGUGAACAAGAUCGGCCGGGUAACUCCGUUGCCGGUUUGCUAGUAGCCGAAGAGGAAGGGACGGCUAACUCUGUGCCAGCAGCCGCGGUAAUACAGAGGUCCCAAGCGUUGUUCGGAUUUAUUGGGCGUAAAGGGUGCGUAGGCGGCGGAGUAAGUUGGGUGUGAAAUCCCGGGGCUCAACCUCGGAAUUGCAUUCAAUACUGCUUCGCUCGAGUACUGGAGAGGAGGCUGGAAUUUACGGUGUAGCAGUGAAAUGCGUAGAUAUCGUAAGGAAGGCCGGUGGCGAAAGCGAGCCUCUGGACAGUUACUGACGCUGAUGCACGAAGGCCAGGGGAGCAAACGGGAUUAGAUACCCCGGUAGUCCUGGCAGUAAACGGUGCGCGUUUGGUGUGGGGGGAUUCGACAAUCUCCGCGCCGGAGCUAACGCGUUAAACGCGCCGCCUGGGAAAUACGGUCGCAAGAUUAAAACUCAAAGAAAUUGACGGGGGCC
rnacentral:rRNA from 1 species